rnacentral:rRNA from 1 species
AGAGUUUGAUCCUGGCUCAGAUUGAACGCUGGCGGCAUGCCUUACACAUGCAAGUCGAACGGCAGCACGGGAGCAAUCCUGGUGGCGAGUGGCGAACGGGUGAGUAAUAUAUCGGAACGUGCCCAGUCGUGGGGGAUAACGCAGCGAAAGCUGUGCUAAUACCGCAUACGAUCUCUGGAUGAAAGCGGGGGACUCGCAAGGGCCUCGCGCGAUUGGAGCGGCCGAUAUCAGAUUAGCUAGUUGGUGGGGUAAAAGCCCACCAAGGCGACGAUCUGUAGCUGGUCUGAGAGGACGACCAGCCACACUGGAACUGAGACACGGUCCAGACUCCUACGGGAGGCAGCAGUGGGGUUUUUUGUUCUGUGGGCGCAAGCCUGAUCCAGCAAUGCCGCGUGCAGGAUGAAGGCCUUCGGGUUGUAAACU